rnacentral:rRNA from 1 species
ACGCACGCUGGCGGCAUGCCUAACACCUGCAAGUCGCACGAAGGCUUCGGCCUUAGUGGCGCACGGGUGCGUAACGCGUGGGAAUCUGCCCUUUGGUUCGGAAUAACAGCUGGAAACGGCUGCUAAUACCGGAUGAUGACGAAAGUCCAAAGAUUUAUCGCCAGAGGAUGAGCCCGCGUUGGAUUAGGUAGUUGGUGGGGUAAAGGCCUACCAAGCCGACGAUCCAUAGCUGGUCUGAGAGGAUGAUCAGCCACACUGGGACUGAGACACGGCCCAGACUCCUACGGGAGGCAGCAGUGGGGAAUAUUGGACAAUGGGCGCAAGCCUGAUCCAGCAAUGCCGCGUGAGUGAUGAAGGCCCUAGGGUUGUAAAGCUCUUUUACCCGGGAAGAUAAUGACUGUACCGGGAGAAUAAGCCCCGGCUAACUCCGUG